UCUCCGUAGGUGAACCUGCGGAGGGAUCAUUACAGAGUUCUCGCCCUCGCGGGUAGAUCUCCCACCCACUGUUAUCGUUACUCUGUUGCUUUGGCGGGCCGCCGGGCCCCGCUCGGCCGCCGGCUCCGGCUGGCGCGCGCCCGCCAGAGGCCCAGCAAACUCUGAAUGUUAGUGUCGUCUGAGUACUAUAUAAUAGUUAAAACUUUCAACAACGGAUCUCUUGGUUCUG
rnacentral:misc_RNA from 1 species